rnacentral:rRNA from 1 species
AGAGUGGCGGACGGGUGAGUAACGCGUGGGAAUCUACCCAGUAGUGGGGGACAACUACCGGAAACGGUAGCUAAUACCGCAUACGCCCUAUGGGGGAAAGGCUUCGGCCGCUAUUGGAUGAGCCCGCGUCAGAUUAGCUAGUUGGUAGGGUAAAGGCCUACCAAGGCAACGAUCUGUAGCUGGUCUGAGAGGACGAACAGCCACACUGGGACUGAGACACGGCCCAGACUCCUACGGGAGGCAGCAGUGGGGAAUAUUGGACAAUGGGCGAAAGCCCGAUCCAGCAAUGCCGCGUGUGUGAAGAAGGCCUGCGGGUUGUAAAGCACUUUCAGUUGGGAAGAUGAUGAUGUUACCACCAGAAGAAGCACCGGCUAAAUCCGUGCCAGCAGCCGCGGUAAUACGGAUGGUGCGAGCGUUAAUCGGAAUUACUGGGCGUAAAGCGCGCGUAGGCGGCUAAGUCAGUCAGAAGUGAAAGCCCCGGGCUCAACCUGGGAAUUGCUUUUGAUACUGCUUAGCUAGAGUUUGGUAGAGGAUAGUGGAAUUCCAGGUGUAGCGGUGAAAUGCGUAGAUAUCUGGAGGAACAUCAGUGGCGAAGGCGACUGUCUGGACCAAAACUGACGCUGAGGUGCGAAAGCGUGGGUAGCAAACAGGAUUAGAUACCCUGGUAG